rnacentral:hammerhead_ribozyme from 13 species
CUGCACCAUGAAUGUGUGUUCAUGCUGAUGAGUCCAAAAGGACGAAUGCGG